rnacentral:misc_RNA from 1 species
AAGUCGUAACAAGGUCUCCGUAGGUGAACCUGCGGAGGGAUCAUUACCAAAGAUGGCGGGCCUCCGGGCCCCCGUCCCCAACCCUUUGUUGACCGAAACCUUUUGCCUCGGGGGCAGAGCGUCGCCGCCCGCCCGGACGACCACGACGCUGUCUCUUUACGUCGGAGUAUUGAUUAAAUAAAUGAAA